GUGAGGAAUUUUCCGCAAUGGGCGAAAGCCUGACGGAGCAAUGCCGCGUGAAGGAUGAAGGCCUAUGGGUUGUAAACUUCUUUUCUCAGAAAAGAAUUAUGACGGUAUCUGAGGAAUAAGCAUCGGCUAACUCUGUGCCAGCAGCCGCGGUAAGACAGUGGAUGCAAGCGUUAUCCGGAAUGAUUGGGCGUAAAGCGUCUGUAGGUUGUUUAAAAAGUAUUCUGUCAAAGAUUAGGGCUUAACCCUAGAUAGGCAGAAUAAACUUUUAAGCUAGAGUUUGGUAGAGGCAGAGGGAAUUCCCGGUGGAGCGGUGAAAUGCGUAGAUAUCGGGAGGAACACCAAAGGCGAAGGCACUCUGCUGGGCCAAUACUAACACUGAGAGACGAAAGCGAGGGGAGCAAAUGGGAUUAGAUACCCUAGUAGUCC
rnacentral:rRNA from 1 species